rnacentral:lncRNA from 1 species
UUUAAAUAAGUGACAAAGUUUUGUGCUGUCAUCUUGUGGGCAAAUACACGAGAUUCAAGUUGUCGAACAAUGGAAUCGUGGGAAAACUUCGAGGUUUGGGAUUGUCGUAAACUGCGAAGUCUUCAUUGUUUACAAAAUAUAAAAAAUCUCAAGUCCUUUUCCAUCAAAUCAUGAAAUUGUCUUAGGAAUGUCGAGGGCCUUGACGAGCUGGAGUUUUUGGAUUACCUACUAGUUGCGGCCUGUGGAUCGUUAGAUUGGUUGAUUGGUGAUGUAUCAAGCGCCAAAUUUCUAAAUGAUCGCCACAUAUUUAUCUUCGGUUGCAGGGAAAGACUUUCGGGGGUUCCGCUAGUCUUUACAAGCACCAAAAGGUGAGUCUUACUGAACAUUCUCUCUCGCGUAGUUAACAUUGAUUGGGUGUUUCAGUUUACUUAUUGUUAUCGGACCAAUAAAGAUGUGAUUGGCAAAUAACGAUGUAUUCCAAUCGAUCUCACUAGUUUUGACACCAAUCUAAAAUUCGGCACACUUGCAAGUUUCAUUUUCCCAAUUGUGUUUUCUGACUUUCCUUUUCUCGUUUUCUACUCCUUUUUCCCCUUAUUUUUCUAUUCCUUUCCGUCCAUGAGUUAGAUAAGCUAGGGAACAAGGUCAGAUGGAAACAAAAUAAGUGGAAGAACUUCAUUAUGCAGAAGAAAUGUCAUCGUUUAGUUUCUUAUAAUUUUUUUUUAAAAAAAUGCCUUAUACGUUUCACACGUCUUUUUAAAUGGGGUGUGAAUUGUUCAGAUAAAUUUGUAUCUUUACUUAAAAUAAUAUCGAUUUCUUACUUAUACUUUGGAGAUAAGGUUGGUACUUUGCAAUUUUCAUACAUAAGACAGGAAGCUAAAUGAAUCACAUAUUUGUUUCAUGUGUCGUAGACACUUUGCUCAUUGUAUGCAAAGAACGCAUUCUUAGAGCAUAAUUCACGUGGUCAACCAAUUUAACUCCGGUGGAGUCGAGUUAUUUACUUAGGAUGAUUCUGCGAUGUUAACUGCCAAGUCACUUGUGCUCGAUCAUGUAUGAUGUACAUGUAGACUUACUAAUUGAAUCAACAAGUAACAUAGAGCAGGUCUCAAGGUUCUUAUCUUCAGAACUUUGACUAGAUAAGAGUGAGUCCGAGCCAUACUCUCUCCUUUUCUUUACAGUUUUCUUGACGCAAACAUCCACAAACAUGAAUUCAACUUUUAAGCGGAUUUGCAAAUAAUUGUAGUAAAUCCAAAAUCAAUCAAACAAACAUGAAUUAAAUUUGAUCUCACUUAAUUUAAAACCCACUCAACGCAAGUGUCUUUUAUUCUCAGCUCGUGUAAUCUCAUUUUCUUUUCCUUUUUUCAGUUCUUCUUUUCUUUUAAUGUAUUAAGAAAGCUCCAUUUGUGCAGCAAGUCUAAAGGACAAGGUCAGUUUUUAUGACAAAUGACUGGAGAAACUUCAAUGUCUAGAGGAAACAUAUAGAAUAGCCCAAAGUCUCUCAAUCAAAUUUUCUUUUCAUUUUAUGUGGAGCAAAUUGUAUAGUUUAGCGUAAUUUUUAUGUAAUAGACUCCACUUUAUUGUGCAUUUCUUACUUAAAAUCAUUAACUAUGGAGAUGAGUUUGGUGAUUUGCGAUUUUUACAAUGAACUCUAAAAGAAUUAGAUACUCAUUGCACCACUCAAAACAGCUUUGCUACCGGAGUUGUUUCAAGAAGACAACUUACAUAGUCCACCCAUCUACUGUUCCAGUGACCUAUGUCCUUGAUGGAAUUGGGUGCUCCUCGAAUUUUUGCAUGUGGUUGGGGCCAGCCAAGUAGGAUGUGCGUUCCAAUAGCACCUCAAAUACUUAUUUUAGAUUGUACAGUUUGAUUAAAGGCCACUUUACACAGGAACAGGAAAGCGACUUCAAAGAGGAACAGGAAUCGAAUCAGAGGAGAGGCUGGGGAGAGUGUCAUUCCAUCGCCCGAGCUUCAAUAGUUUUCUCCACUGCGUCCUCCCCGUUUUUUUUCCGUUUGAUUAUAAGUGACUUCAAAUAGGAAUCAAAGCAGAGGAGAGGGCUGAGGAGGGUGUCGUUCCAGUGCCUGAGCUUCAACAUAAUGUGAUGUUGGUUGUGGUAAAGAUGGCAAUCUAGAACUGGAGAGGACUUUCGCCAUCAAGUCAGAACGACAGUUGGCAGAAAGCAGAGCUGGAGCGUAUCAGAAGCACUCGAAUAGCUAUCACCGUUGGCCGGGAAUAAAGGCCACCUUGUCCGUAAUGUAUUCGUAACCUAUUGUUUUGCCUACAGGGCAUUUGUUUCGUUAAUUAGUAUUUGCUUUUGAGUUCUGCUUUGGGUUUCAACCAAUAUGCACUUGAAGAAUGUGGCCCGUUCAUCAAUUUUCAGAUGACUUCAUAGAUGAUUUGAAACUCUGGAGCUUAAUCAAGGCGUGUCAUGUUUUUUAUUAUUCUAAUUAACAGAUAUGUGAUUGUGCAUCUUAUG